ACGAAAACGAAAACGAGGCAGCCAGAACGCCAAAAAAAAGAAACAACGACUACAACAACAACUACAAUCACAGUUAUAUUUUCUUGUAUCGUUGCCCGUAAGGAGUAGUAGUUCACUUAUUGCUGUUCAACACUUAGAGUUCAAAAUCAGUUUGCCGCCUGGACUACGCGUAUUUAGACGUAUUCUUUUAAAACGACUCCGGGUUUUACGUUUAGUUUUCUCUCUGUAUACCAACUGAUACACAUAGAUAGAUUUUGUGUGGCUUUGCCAGUGUGUAUUUAUUCUUAGUUCUUUAAAAAACAACAACAAACAAAAUCAAGUGAAAAAUUAUAUUUGAAAAAUAAAAGAAAAUAAUGAAAAAAAAAUUAAAAAAAAAUGAUGUUGAAAAAUAAAAUAAAUAUAAAACAGCACAUGUUAAAUUGAGUAAAAUAUUUUUCUAUUGUGUUUGAUGUAUGAAAAAUUAAUGCAAACAAUUUAUGAAAUAGCAAACAACAACAGCUCUUAAAGUGGAAUGUAAUUUAAUUGAAAAACACGUCAAACCAUCAACAUCAAUAUGUUAGAGUAUUUGCAACAGCUAUGAGUAUACACGAACUUGCAACACUGACGGCAACAACACUAUCUCGGUAAUAAUGAAAAUAUGAAUAAAACAAUUUUAUAAAAAUAUUUAACAAAAGAGUUAAAAGAAAACAAGGAAAAUAAUUAUAAUUAUAAUUAAAAUGUAAAAUUAUAAUAAGGAUAAGUGAGUGAGAAAAAAAAAACAGAAAAAAACAAGGAACUGUUUGUAAUGGUUGUAAAUAUUAAUAAAAUUAAUGUGCUUAUUAUGCAAAAAUUCUGUGUAAACAAAUAAUGUGUAAAAGAAUGAGUGUGUGUGUGUGUGCGCUCUAAAAAAAUAUCCCAAAAAAAUACCAGAUAAAAGCGUAAAAAGAAAAUAUUGAACAAAUAAAUUUAUUAUAAUGAAGAAAAAAAUUCACUUAAAUUCAUAAGAGAAUAACAGCUGUUUAAAAAUUCAUUUACACCAAAUCAACAAACAAUUUAUGUCUGUCUUCCUUUCUUCUCAUUACCGUAUUAUUUCACAUUUUCAUGCGAAAUGCUUGUUUUGGUAAACUUUGACAUAUAACAGAUAGAGAUUUAUAGCCCGCGGGAAAAGAACACACAUGAAAAAUGCUUAAGAAUGACGAUUAUACACAUACAAAUACGCUCACCAGGAUCACAUUAAUUCUGCUGAAUUAAAGUUUAAACAAAUUUAAUGUUUGUUUUUUCCAAACUUUUCAUCAUCUCAAACAAGCUGGAAAAUAACUUACUUAACAAGAAAAUGAAAAAUUUCUAAUAAAGACAUUAAGCCAAAAAAUCAAAACAUAAAGCAAAUAAACAUAAUUGAAGUGGAAAUAUUACAAAAUGAAAAUUACAUUGCAAAAUAAAAAAAACUUAAAAC